GAUGAAGAACGUAGCAAAAUGCGAUACUUGGUGUGAAUUGCAGAAUCCCGUGAACCAUCGAGUUUUUGAACGCAAGUUGCGCCCGAAGCCUUUUGGCCGAGGGCACGUCUGCCUGGGCGUCACGCAUCGCGUCGCCCCCCACAAUUCUCCGUAAAAGGAACAUGUGUUUUGGGGGCGGAUAUUGGUCUCCCGUGCUCAUGGCGUGGUUGGCCGAAAUAGGAGUCCUUUCGAUGGACGCACGAACUAGUGGUGGUCGUAAAAACCCUCGUCUUUUGUUUCGUGCUGUUGCUCGCAAGGUAAAUUCUUUAAAAACCCCAAUGUGUCGUCUCUUGACGACGCUUCGACCGCGACCCCAGGUCAGGCGGGACUACCCGCUGAGUUUAAGCAUAUCAAUAAGCGGAGGA
rnacentral:misc_RNA from 1 species